rnacentral:tRNA from 1 species
GCCCUGAUGGCGGAAUUGGUAGACGCAAGGGACUUAAAAUCCCUCGCACCUUCGGUGCGUGCCGGUUCGAGUCCGGCUCUGGGCA